UACGAAGGGGGCUAGCGUUGCUCGGAAUUACUGGGCGUAAAGCGCACGUAGGCGGUUUCUUAAGUCGGGGGUGAAAUCCUGGAGCUCAACUCCAGAACUGCCUUCGAUACUGGGGAACUUGAGUCCGGGAGAGGUGAGUGGAACUGCGAGUGUAGAGGUGAAAUUCGUAGAUAUUCGCAAGAACACCAGUGGCGAAGGCGGCUCACUGGCCCGGUACUGACGCUGAGGUGCGAAAGCGUGGGGAGCAAACAGG
rnacentral:rRNA from 1 species